rnacentral:rRNA from 1 species
AGAGUUUGAUCAUGGCUCAGGAUGAACGCUAGCUACAGGCUUAACACAUGCAAGUCGAGGGGAAACGACAUCGAAAGCUUGCUUUUGAUGGGCGUCGACCGGCGCACGGGUGAGUAACGCGUAUCCAACCUGCCCACCACUUGGGGAUAACCUUGCGAAAGUAAGACUAAUACCCAAUGACGUCUCUAGAAGACAUCUGAAAGAGAUUAAAGAUUUAUCGGUGAUGGAUGGGGAUGCGUCUGAUUAGCUUGUUGGCGGGGUAACGGCCCGCCAAGGCUACGAUCAGUAGGGGUUCUGGAGAGGAAGGUCCCCCACACUUGGAACUGAGACACGGUCCAAACUCCUACGGGUGGCA